AGAAAUCCUGAGGCUGUUCCAGCAGGAGAGGCCUGAGGCUGCCAUCCAACUACAGCUUUUCCCUCCUGUGCUGGUUUGAGGGUCUCCUGAACAGUGCACCCUUGGCUCCACACAAGUGUGUUAUCCACCCUUUGCAUUGCCUGCCUGCUGUGAUAAUACACGUGCUGCAAUUCCCUGUGUAUCCUGCUGAUCCUUCUUUUUCCCAGGAUAAGGCAAC